rnacentral:lncRNA from 1 species
UUUUAUAGGAAGCAUGUUUGGGACCUGUGAUGGGAUUCCUCACAAAGAAUUGUGAUGUGGAUUAAAGAAACUAUAUUCUGCUGUACAAAGUUCCCAAGAUGCUAAGGUUUUCAGCCUGAUUCUUUGCACAGAAAGAGGGAGGCAACUACCUGACACCUGGAGAUUAUGAAAGUCAUGAAAUUCAGCCAAAAUGUGAGUUUUUAAAUCUUUUCAACUUUAAGAUAAAUUUGUAGUGUUAGUGGAUUUACCAAACUAAAU